GUGUAAUUGUCCGCAUGUGUGCAGCUCCGACUUGUCAAGUAGCAUUCCAAAACCAGCAGUCCAGUAGGUUCACUCUGACGAUCGUUAACGGUUCCUUCCAACAAUAUGCCGCAGGUGAUGGUGCUGAUAGAGUAGCCUACAGGGGGACGAUACACCGCGUUGGUGAUGUGAAUGCAGACAACGGACUUCAUGGGAAACUUUAUGCAUGUCGGAUGUUCUUUUGUGGUGGGUGGCGUUCAUCUUUAUCAUUCUGGAGGAACGCAGUGCGAGACGGUGAAAUAUUUGUUCUACAACUUCGUUGCGGGAUCUGGCUGUGGAUCCAACUAAUAGUUGCUCUGAGUAGGUAGUGGUGAAAUCAUUAGGAAUCCACUGCUGACCGAGAUAUUACAAAAAGGCCCCCAAAUUACGAAUGUCUCUUGGUCGGCUUCAACUCUGUCUGACGCAGUCAAGCCUUCUGCUGGAAGUGGUCCGAAACAAUAACCAACUGCGACCGCAUCGUCUGGCCAGCGAGAACAUCCACAAAAGCCACUACCGGCUACCAGCAGUGUCCAGCCGGAUGAAAUGGAGAAAAAAGACUGCUCGGUGCCUUGCCAUCUCCUGACUUGAAAGGAGUAAAUCACGGGUCUAGCUCGACCUUGACUGUUUCCGCCUUAGUGUUCGUUUUUCCUCGUAGACCAGUUAUGUACUUCUUUGUUCGGAUGGUACUCGUGCCCUUGCUCUUCAUUGUGUUCUGUUCUUUUUCUUUGAGCGGGUAGACCUGUGUCUCCUGUUCCAUACGGCAGUGCGAGCUUUUCGUCUGUGAGCUCCUUGUUGUCCUGUUGAGAAUAUCAGCUACUUUUAGGGCUCUGCGCCUCAACUCCCAUUCGUUCCAGUGGUACGACGUGUCUCUCUCAAGCGUUUCGAAAUGUACUGGAGUCAUAACCGCAGCGUCGGCAUUCCGAGGCUCGUGAAGCAAAAGGAACAGCUGGUCGGCUGUGGCAGUGUCUUUACCAAAACGUGGUGUUUCUUGCUUCAGACGUGUGGCGAUAUUUCGCUGGAGCUUGAGGAUAUUCCGCAGGCUGGACCUGAU
rnacentral:lncRNA from 1 species